rnacentral:rRNA from 1 species
CUUAUGCAUGCAAGUCGAGCGAUGAGGCUCCUUCGGGGGUACAUCAGCGGCAGACGGGUGAGUAACACGUAGGUGACCUACCCUCGAGACGGGGAUAACGGGUGGGAACAGUCGCUAAUACCCGAUAGACUUACCAGGUCAAAGCGGUAAGAAAAGCUACGGUGCUUGGGGAGGGGCCUGCGGCCCAUCAGCUAGUUGGUAGGGUAACGGCCUACCAAGGCGAAGACGGGUAGGGGGUGUGAGAGCACGAGCCCCCACAAUGGGACUGCGACACGGCCCAUACUCCUACGGGAGGCAGCAGCAGGGAAUAUUGCACAAUGGACGGAAGUCUGAUGCAGCGACGCCGCGUGAGUGAAGACGGCCUUCGGGUUGUAAAGCUCUUUUACGGGGGACGAGGAAGGACGGUACCCUGGGAAGAAGUGUCGGCUAACUACGUGCCAGCAGCCGCGGUAAGACGUAGGACACAAGCGUUAUCCGGAGUUACUGGGCGUAAAGCGCCUGCAGGCGGCCUGGUAAGUUGGACGUGAAAGCCCCGUGCUUAACGCGGGGAGGUCGGACAAUACUGCCAAGCUAGAGUGCGUCAGAGGGGAGUGGAAUUUCCGGAGUAGCGGUAAAAUGCGCAGAUAUCGGGAAG